rnacentral:rRNA from 1 species
UACAGAGGUGGCAAGCGUUGUUCGGAAUUACUGGGCGUAAAGGGCGCGUAGGCGGCCUUCUAAGUCAGACGUGAAAUCCCCAGGCUUAACUUGGGAACUGCGUCUGAUACUGCGAGACUUGAGUUCGGGAGAGGGAAGCGGAAUUCCGGGUGUAGCGGUGAAAUGCGUAGAUAUCCGGAGGAACACCGGUGGCGAAGGCGGCUUCCUGGACCGAUCACUGACGCUGAGGCGCGAAAGCUAGGGGAGCAAACGGG